rnacentral:tRNA from 1 species
GGGGGCAUAGCUCAGUUGGGAGAGCGUCUGGUUCGCAAUCAGAAGGUCGGCGGUUCGAUCCCGCCUGUCUCCACAA